rnacentral:lncRNA from 1 species
UACAGUGACGCGCCACCAUGCCCGGCUAAUUUUUGUAUUUUUAGCAGAGACGGGGUUUCACCAUCUUGCCCAGGCUGCUCUUUAACUCCUGACCUCGUGAUCCACCCACCUCGGGCUCCCAAGGUGCUGGGAUUACAGGCGUGAGCCACCGCGCCCGGCCAAAACAAACACUUUUACGACAAUUGAAAAAUAGAAGUUUCCAAUUCAAUUUUGCAACUAAAAAAUAAUAAUAAUGUGGUGCCUUCAUGUUAAACUUUGGAAAAAGCCAGGGAAGUGGCUUGCUCUGGUGAAUAAAUUCUGUAGACCCUUAAGGCUGUUCGCAGCGUACACCAAGACUUCCGAGGCAAGUGGGGGCUCCCCCUGGCGGCUGCGCCGGGUGGCUGCUCCGGGAUUGUGCGGACCUCCGAGCUACACCGUCUCCAACCAACAGAAGCCAGCAGGAACCUGCCUUAGAUGUGGGGAAUGAGACAACACAACUUCUCCCAUAGGCCUGGUGGUCAGAGAGGCUGGAUCAAGAAUCUCCACAGCCCAGCGAGAAGCCACGCGAACACACCCCUGUGUGGGUAUCCG